UUCAGGGAGGAUUGACAAAUUGAGAGCUCCUUCUUGAUUCGGUGGAUGGUGGUGCAUGUCCGUUCUCAGUUGGUGGAGUGAUUUGUCUGGUUAAUUCAGAUAACGAACGAGACUCUAGCCUAUUAAAUAGGUGCGUGGUUCUCUGCACCGUGCACCCUUCCAAGCGGUUCCUAGCCGCAAGAAACCGAGCAAUAACAGGUCUGUGAUACCCUUAGAU
rnacentral:rRNA from 1 species